GAUGAACGCUGGCGGCGUGCCUAAUACAUGCAAGUCGAGCGAACGGACGAGAGGCUUGCUUCUCUGAUGUUAGCGGCGGACGGGUGAGUAACACGUGGAUAACCUACCUAUAAGACUGGGAUAACUUCGGGAAACCGGAGCUAAUACCGGAUAAUAUUUUGAACCGCAUGGUUCAAAAGUGAAAGACGGUCUUGCUGUCACUUAUAGAUGGAUCCGCGCUGCAUUAGCUAGUUGGUAAGGUAACGGCUUACCAAGGCAACGAUGCAUAGCCGACCUGAGAGGGUGAUCGGCCACACUGGAACUGAGACACGGUCCAGACUCUUACGGGAGGCAGCAGUAGGGAAUCUUCCGCAAUGGGCGAAAGCCUGACGGAGCAACGCCGCGUGAGUGAUGAAGGUCUUCGGAUCGUAAAACUCUGUUAUUAGGGAAGAACAUAUGUGUAAGUAACUGUGCACAUCUUGACGGUACCUAAUCAGAAAGCCACGGCUAACUACGUG
rnacentral:rRNA from 1 species